UCCUACGGGAGGCAGCAGUGGGGAAUAUUGCACAAUGGGGGAAACCCUGAUGCAGCCAUGCCGCGUGUGUGAAGAAGGCCUUCGGGUUGUAAAGCACUUUCAGUAGGGAGGAAGGUAGUGUAGUUAAUAGCUGCAUUAUUUGACGUUAGCGACAGAAGAAGCACCGGCUAACUCCGUGCCAGCAGCCGCGGUAAUACGGAGGGUGCGAGCGUUAAUCGGAAUUACUGGGCGUAAAGCGCAUGCAGGUGGUUUGUUAAGUCAGAUGUGAAAGCCCGGGGCUCAACCUCGGAAUAGCAUUUGAAACUGGCAGACUAGAGUACUGUAGAGGGGGGUAGAAUUUCAGGUGUAGCGGUGAAAUGCGUAGAGAUCUGAAGGAAUACCGGUGGCGAAGGCGGCCCCCUGGACAGAUACUGACACUCAGAUGCGAAAGCGUGGGGAGCAAACAGGAUUAGAUACCCUGGUAGUCCACGCCGUAAACGAUGUCUACUUGGAGGUUGUGGCCUUGAGCCGUGGCUUUCGGAGCUAACGCGUUAAGUAGACCGCCUGGGGAGUACGGUCGCAAGACUGAAACUCAAAGGAAUUGACGGA
rnacentral:rRNA from 1 species